rnacentral:rRNA from 1 species
GACGAACGCUGGCGGCGUGCCUAAUACAUGCAAGUCGAGCGAUGAGGGGUGGUACUUGUACCAAUUGGAUGAGCAGCGGACGGGUGAGUAACGCGUGGGGAAUCUGCCUUUGAGCGGGGGACAACAUUGGGAAACGAAUGCUAAUACCGCAUAAAAACUUGAAACACAAGGUUUAAGUGUGAAAGAUGCAAUUGCAUCACUCAAAGGUGAUAUCGCGUUGGAUUAGCUAGUUGGUGAGGGAAAGGCCCAACAAGGCGAUGAUACAUAGCCGACCUGAGAGGGUGGUUCGGCCCCUUUGGACCGGGACCCGGCCCCAACUCCCUCGGGAGGGCGCAGUAGGGAAUCUUCGGCCAUGGACGAAAGUCCGACCGGGGCACGCCGCGGGAGUGAAGAAGGGUCUCCGAUCGUUAAAACCCUUUGGUAGGGAAGAACGUAGGUGAGAGUUAAAAGCUCAUCAAUUGACGGUACCUACUCAGAAAGGCACGGCUAACUACGUG